AGCUAAACCUGGGUUUGAACCUUGAGCUGGCAACUCCUCUACCCCCAGUUUCUUACAGCUUCCCAGUACAGCGAGAGCAGAAGUAGUGGUUUUGUGGUGGGUCUAGAGGAUUGCAUCUGCUGAGACCCCCUCCUCCUCCUCUGGCUGGCACAGAGCAACAGAAAGAAGUCUAAAAGUCAAGAGACCACUGGCCCAGGAGAAUCCUGCCAUUGCAGAUAGAAGAGGACACAGCCAUGACCACUGAGGACUGCUGAUCAGCACCAGAUGGAGGCCUCUUAGUGGACGUCAGCAUACAUGUCUAAGUGACCUUCUUCCCUACUGACUUGGCUCUAGGUUGGGUGGUGACACACGCUCCUGCCUUAUGGAAGACUUUGCAUCAGCAUGACAAGAAGUGGUGGCUGAUGACCCAAGAUGCUGAGCAGCUUUACUAAUCAUAACUGCAAACUAAAGGCUGUGUGUUUUCUCUAGAAGUGGAGUGAGAGAUUGCCUUGUCUCCUGCCGCUCCCACAGUAUAAUCAAGGCAUCAAGCUAAAUUAAAGGAAAUGCCAUCUUCUGGUGACAGCAGGGUAUCAAGAUCAAAGACAUUCAAGAUAUCACAGGUGCCAGGAAGUUGAUGCCCCAGGAGCUGUUCUCAGUCUAUUAUGAAUGGGAGUUGGUAGGUCAAUAUCAUCCCAGCCUCCGCCUCACCUUGGCGCAGUUCAUUCACUCUGGAAGAAGACAGCUGCUGUUCCAUGAAGACAUUCAAGCAGCUUUAGAAGGGGUUUGUUUGGCAAGGAGCUCAGGCCUCCUGCCAACAGUCAUGUGAGUGAGCCACCUUGGAAGUGGAUUUUCCUGCCUCGAGCCUUCAAAUGAUUGCGGCUUCAGCGAACAUUUUGACUGCAACCUCAGGAGAGACCUGAAAUCAGAACCCCCCAACUAAGCUG
rnacentral:lncRNA from 13 species